UCUUGCAUUUGUUUACACAGGAUUGCCUGCACAAUAUGUUUGUGUCUCAUAGUUUAGAUCCCCAGUUCAUUUCCUUCUUUUACAAGCCUGAGGGAAAGAUCUGAUAUUCCCUCAAGAGCAGCUGCCAGUCUUGCUCUACAGACUUCAACAUCAUUCAGUCUUUUAAAGCUACCCUAACUGACAGAUUAUGGCAUUGUCCCAAGCAACCCUUCAAAGGAUGAAGUCACAUUCAAAAUUCUGCACGUGAAAUCAUGUCUGAAUCCUGAUGAUUUCAGUAUUUGUUUUUGAUUAGGAGGAAUAAAUUAAACUUUCAUUAUGAAUUUUUCUAGUCUUGAAGCACCAUCUCUGCCUUCAACUACUAUUCAUAUUCCAGGAAACUCCAGGAAACUUGGAAUCACAGACUCAUAGGAUACCUUGGGUUUGAAAGAACUUCAGGAGGCUUCUUGUGCAACAUUCAGUUCAGAGCAGAGUCAGACAGCAAUUCAGAAUGGGCUGAAUUGCUUGGCUCUACCUGGUUUUGAAAACUUCCAUGGAUGGAGACUGCACAACAUCUCUGGGGCAACCUAUUGAAUGUUUAACUGUCAUGAUGAAAAUACAUUCAGUCUGAUCCUCUUGUUUUGGUAUAUGCUCUUGCCUAUGAUGAACACGGCUGUGUUUUUUUGCUGUGUGGGGUGACAGAGCGGUGACAUUGGUUGCCCAGAGAGGUUCUGGAACCUACUCCAAAAGCCACCUGGGCAUGGCCCUGGGCAACCUGCUCUGAGUAGGUUGAGCUGGGGUUGGGUCAGAUGGAUCCAGAAGUCUGCCGACUUCAGCCACUCUAGGAUUCUGUGUAAAUCAAACAGAUAUUCUAAAAUGUGAUCCACCACUGACACCAAAUACAGCCAUUUACAGCAGUGCAAGUUAAACAAGUGUCUGUUUACAGCCAUGCUACACCAAUUACAUGACUGAGCCAGGCAGUAGAGAAACAGCUUCUCAGUGACUAUUAAUCAGAAGAGAGAGAUCAGAUGCCAGGAGUGUUUCAACCUACUGUGAUUUUCAGAAUAUGCAGUGUUCACCAAAACAGUUACUGUCAAGCAUGUAUUUGUUGAAUAUAACAAUAAAGCAACUGGACAACUGCAAAUUUGAUUACUGCAGGAAUGGAGUAUUCAGCUACUGAAUAACUGAAAACGGCCACCACAAAGAGCUGCAACAUCCUUGGCUACACAGCUGUCUGGUUUCUAGAUCUGACAGGAGACUGGGACAGACACCUUCCUGGUCUACGAAAGACAAGAUUGGAUUAUUAGAAAUAAGUACUAGAACUUGCAGAAAUAAGUACUAGAACUUGGAAUUCCUAUGGGAUUUUUAAUGGGAAACACUUGUAUGUUACUUCUCCAUCUGAAUCAAAGAGUAUGAAAUUUUAACAUUUCCUGCAAUGUUCUUCCUUAAGAAAUGAUUUUAGAAAUUUUUAAUUCAUGAAGAACUGUGUUUCAAUCCAGGUAGGAGAAUUUUAUCUGGGCUCUCUUUAUUUCAUUAUGAUAGAUACUUACAUAUAGACAAUUUUGUUGUUUUUCAGAGGAUAUUACAAGGAAAAGAAAAUAUUCUCCACAAAAUGUUCCCCACAGUCAUAUCAUGGUGUCUCUGACAAUUAAGCACUAAGAAAUCAUUUGAUCACUUCAGCCAUAUCCUUUUCUAAGCAUACAAUGUCACCCAUGCAGAUGUGGCUGGCAGAAGUAUAUGCUGCAGGAAAAAGCAUCCUCACCCUGCUGGAUUUCUGGGGGGGAGUCACCUAAUUCAGAGCAAGCUGUAAAAUGAGGUGCCCAGGCAAUUAGAUAUCUAGAUGCCAUCGGUUGAAUGAGUAUCCUUAAUGCAAUCAGAGUUCUGAUUGUCAAGGCCUACAAAAGCAACUUACAAACUUUCAGUCCUGCAGUAGACUCUGGUGAGAAUAUAGAAUUAUAGAAUUAUUUAGACUGGGAAAGAUCCUUAAGAUCAAGUCCAACCAUCAAACUGAUACAACCAAAUCUCCUUUAGCAUUGUACCACAUACAUGUGGAUGGACAACACUGCAAUUCACUUCAGAGAGGAGCUUAAUGGUAGAACAAAGGAUGGCUUGCAAGACAACAAGUUGAAGAUCUCUUUCAAAAGCAGGUUUAUUUUUGUAAAUUAUACCCAGGCAUUUUGACCUUUUCAACCAAAUCCUCUCAGCUCACCUAGACAGCUACAUUUUCGAAAUACCUUUGACAAGUCACCCAGAAACAACAAAUUGGUUUUCAGAAGUAGGGGAAGAGAAUAUGUGCCCCUGUCAGAUUUUACAAGUCAGGUGUGAGAAUCAGACACACAGCCCGCAUGGAGCACAUAGAACUAUAAAAUAAUGGUAUGGGCACAACAGCUGGUGGCUAUUUGGAGCAUAAACGUGGGCAAGAAAACAGGCUGUGCUGGAGUAUCUGUUCACACGCAGUAUAGCCAAACCAUGAGCACAGUAUAGCCUAACCAUGAACUGUGUCCUUAGACAACAGAAUCCAUCUGUUAAAAUUGUGUGUUUUGGGAAGUCAUAAGUACUUAAGGGAGGUAGUGGCACAUUCAGCAAAAUCUCCAGCUUAUGCAGGGCUCUUUAUGGGAUGAUUGCAACCACUGUAAUUUAAAGCAGAUCUUAUGUUACCUUAAUCCAUGCUGGGGGCCAUUCUCCCUUUUGGUUAGAUCACCGUUUCAGAACAGAAAUGAGUUUUGGAGCUGCUGUCCUUCUAGCCUUCCUUCACAAUGGCCAAUGCACUCUAAGAGUAUCUGGCUACCAAGUUUUUCUUACACGUUUAAUCAUUCACUUCUUAUCUAGGGGAAAUGUUUCUCUCUCUUAGGGAUUUCCAUAGGAAAUCUUGCCAAUUAUAAACCAAAAGACUAUUUUGUGAUAUUGGAAUAUUACGAGAUGAAUGAGAACAUUACAUGAUGGAUGAAUCCAACGACAUCAUACUCAACCUUCAAUUUAUUAUUAUCCUCACUUGGCAAAAGCUCUUGCAUAGCUUUGCAUUAAUGGUGUGACAUUCAUUUGCCAGUUGCACCACAGAAUCUCAGCCUACAGGAUUAGUAGUGCUGCUGCCUCCAAGAUAACAUGCACAGAUCCUGAAAUGAGGAAAAUCCUUCCAGGGACCAAAAGAGCCCUGGCAAGAAAUAACAACA